UUGGAAGUUAAAGGAGAGAGACACUUCACAAAGGAAGUUGCAGACGUUUUAAACGUUUUAAAUAAUAUACAUUGGGGGAAAAAAAAUUUGUUAGUAUUGUUAGUAAUGACAACCCCGGGGUGUUAUAUCAAUUAUAUCUGAUGUAGGCUACUGGUUUCAUAUAUCUAAUACACUGUAGCUUUAAAACAAAUCUCAUACAGUAAGGGCGGUUCCAGUGAUAAAGAAAUAAAAGGAAAGGAAGGUCCAGCUCUCUUCAUUUCAUCGACUCGCCUCGACUGGACCUUCAUCUUCUGCUGAAUCACGAGACGAAACUUGGGGUCAGUAAGCAGAACCUAAGAGCGACAAUGACAGGCCAGGAGGUGGAUGACGAGGCUGACGAUGACGAUGAUACGAUGCACUGUGUCAAUCGGGAAGCUUGAUCGAGGUCUGCCACCAAGGGCAGACCACAGGAGCUGAACCAGUAGAAGAUCAAUGCAUGUGUGCGAGAGCGACGCGUCGACUGGUUGAGCCGUACUUGGAUAUAAAGCUGUUUGCAAACGAAUUAUCAUAAAGGAAUCUAUGUAGAAAUCUGUUGUUUCUACACCACUACUUCUUCAAAGGAUAUUUUUCUGCUGUUGUGUAAUUAUGGAUUAGUCUGAUAUACAUGGAUGUGUCUCACUGUAUUGCUGAAAAGUCAUUGUUGUGUUCCUGAAAGCCUAUACAAUGAAACAGAUAAAGUUUUACAAUACAUACAAUUUAUGACGAGUCAAGUAAAUACAGAACGUGAUGUAUACUUGUAUUAUCUGUGACCUCCAUAAUCUACAGCUUCUGUAUUUCCCUUGGUUGUGUGAAUGGGGUCCUGACUGACUGGCUGGUAGGAGGAAGUGCGCACUUUAAAUCAGGAAAUGAGCCUCCUGGUUCUUAAUAAACCUUCGUACAGAAUUGUAAACACCACAGAAGGUGAUAAAAAAUAUCACUUCUUGUUUUAAAGUGCGUGCUUGUAAUGUAGCGUAUUGAUCUAAACGCCGGUCUGGAUGGAGUCACACAGAAACACCCCAUUUUCCUUCCUUUGUUUGUCUUUUCCUUUCUUCAGUCUGACCCUUUCAUUCGGACUUCAACAGAUUAUGUGGAUGAAUCCUGAAUCUGAAUAAAAGUGAAUCAUUCA